AUGGCAACCUCAGCUGGAUAAGGAUAGGCCUCAUCAAUACGCCUUCCGGGCUCAAAUGGUACUGUGCCUUUUCGGCAUUUUUAAUAAGGCGCGCUAAAUAAAGAGAACACUCACUUUUGAUAAAACGCUCCCUUUGAUCAAGCGGCUAUUCGGGUCUGUCAGUGCUUAAUAGUUACUGGACAAUGACAUAUAGUAUUGAAGGAUAUGGUCGAAAGUAAAAGGUAGCGGUCCACAACAAUGGACAGUGUAUCUACAAGGAAGUAGACUCUUUGUUUUGUGAUUUUGGUUAAUGAAUAUUGGUAGUACGAGGUGAAUUGAAAACUUCGGGGAAGCGUUGGAACAGAAAAACUUCCAUGUUUCGAAACUUCCGGGCUCUCAAAUGGCGCACCUUAAAUUUGAGGUAGUUUGCUAGUUGGUAACUUCAACGU